rnacentral:lncRNA from 1 species
ACAAAGAGCCUCUUUAUUUAUUCUUUUCAAUUGAGGAUCAAAGUUUUGAAUUCUAAAGAAGAGAACAUUUUAUGUAGUUAAAUUGGUGGUACAUCCUAUAUGAUCCUGCAUUUCUAAGUACCUAUAACUACUUUAAAAAUUCCUAAAAGUGGGGAAAUGCAAAAAAUAUUUUUCAACAUUGCGUUUAUUGUAAAAUUCCAAAUUUACCUUUUAUUCAAAAUUAUAAAUAUAUCUACUAUGUUCCUGAUUUAGUUUAAAACUUUAGUUAUUUUAUCAUACUAGGAAACUUGUUAAUUAGUACUAAUUGACAUUUCUUGCAUUACUCCUGUUCACACUAGCAAUUUUCAAUUUAGCCUUGGAUUCAUCAUAUAGCAUUUAACUUAUACUGUUUCCCAUCAAAAGUUAGUGCUGAAUCUUUUUAGCUUUUCAAUUAUUUGAAUUUCCUUACACAACCAUUUAUGUUUAUUUAGAUAUUAGAGCUUGAAUAAUUAGACUUACAAAAACUCAUAUAUGUUGGGUUGAUGCAAUAAAUACUUCUUUCAGUUCUUUUCACUUCUUACAAUUACCAGUUGCUCUUUUGAACUUGAUAUUUCCUGAUAGAGAAAUGUAAACUAAUUUUUGAUUCUUACAUAACUAAAUGCGGUUUUGCUUGAAGUAGAAUUUACUGCAAAUUGACCAUAUAUUCAAGAUCAAGCCAUGAAAUUCAACUGAAAGUUCUGUUUUGAUGAUAGCUUAUGUUUAAAUUGAUAGAUAAUUUGUUAUUUUUAAAUUAAAAUGUAAGAAACCAUGGAUUGCAAUCAUGAUGACAAGGGAAAUUGUGUUGGUGUUGCAUCGUUGUAAUGAAUAAACUCGUGAAGCUUGAGAAAUUAGUCUUAACAUCUGGUUUUAAUCUCUAACUUUAUGAGCAAAAAUCUUUGGGGAUGAAAUUUGUUAUUUUCCUUCCACGCUAUUAAAUAGAUCCACUUACUGUUGAGCAGUUAUGCAGAGAUCCAAAUACGAGAAAAAUAUUUCCACGAAACAGUGUGAUUUUGACCGUUUUUCUUGUAGAGUUGGUAAUUCUAACUUCAAAACUCAUAUAGACUUUUCCAGCUAUAACCCUCAGUAGUUACCUUCAUAUUUGUCUCGUAAAAGUUCAGCAGUUUACAAAGAUACGGCUCUCAAAAGUUUAAGACAAUCUUGUGGUGCAUCCAUCUUAGUGAUGGAAGGCAAUCCUAUUAUGUGCAGUGUUGCUUACCAUUAUGGCGUUGGAAAAAAGUCAAUCUUUUCUUUUAGUUUAAGUCUAACCAUGCUCAAUAGUUUCUAUUACUUUUGCCGACUGAUUCACGUACACUAUCAGAAAUUGGUGCCGCUAGUUCGGUAUUCCUUGGCUUUCCACCCUCUCCUACACUUUCAGUUGCCACUUCAUCCAAGGUAAUAAAAAAAAA